GGCGGCGUGCCUAACACAUGCAAGUCGAGCGAGGAGAUCCCUUCGGGGAUGAACCUAGCGGCGGACGGGUGAGUAACACGUGGGCAACCUGCCUUAUAGAGGGGAAUAGCCUUCCGAAAGGAAGAUUAAUACCGCAUAACAUUACAUUUUCGCAUGAAGAAGUAAUUAAAGGAGUAAUCCGCUAUAAGAUGGGCCCGCGGCGCAUUAGCUAGUUGGUGAGGUAACGGCUCACCAAGGCGACGAUGCGUAGCCGACCUGAGAGGGUGAUCGGCCACAUUGGGACUGAGACACGGCCCAGACUCCUACGGGAGGCAGCAGUGGGGAAUAUUGCACAAUGGGGGAAACCCUGAUGCAAGCAACGCCGCGUGAGUGAUGAAGGUCUUCGGAUCGUAAAGCUCUGUCUUCAGGGACGAUAAUGACGGUACCUGAGGAGGAAGCCACGGCUAACUACGUGCCAGCCGCAGC
rnacentral:rRNA from 1 species